rnacentral:rRNA from 1 species
CAAAGAACUUUGAAGAGAGAGUUCAAGAGGACGUGAAACCGUUUAGAAGGAAACGGAUAGAGCUGCGAAAUGCUCGGCCGAUUCAGGCAGUUGGACUGUGCGUGCACCGGUUGUCAGAUCGUAAGACUGCGGCUGGAUGUUCUGUGUGGUUCGACUGUUGCAUUUUGGCCGAGUAGCACUAGCGGCCUUGACGUUGCCAGUGUUGCCGGCAGGUUGAAGGCGCCGCUUCGGUGGUUGUCGAACUGUCGAGUAGCACUCGUGCACGUCAAGGUGCCAAACAGUGGAGGCGUACGUGCAGCGCGUGGUCGUGGCUGGCGUUAGUAUGGGGACAUGCUUGCAUGAAUCUGUGCUGGCGUUGGUCAUCGGUUGCGAUCUGCUCUUCACUCACGCUGGUGAACAAGUCAGUCACCUAUCCGACCCGUCUUGAAACACGGACCAAGGAGUCUAACAUGUAUGCGAGUUGUAGGGUGUAAAACCUGAAGGCGCAAUGAAAGUAAAGCUUAACGAUACAGGAUUCGGUUUCGGCCGACGCACUGUAGCCCCGUUCUAUUUGCAUGUCAAAGGAGCGGCGGAAGAGCAUACACGUUGGGACCCGAAAGAUGGUGAACUAUGCCUGAGCAGGGCGAAGCCAGAGGAAACUCUGGUGGAGGCUCGAAACGGUUCUGACGUGCAAAUCGAUCGUCAGACUUGGGUAUAGGGGCGAAAGACUAAUCGAACCAUC